CCGAGGGCUUGUUUGGGGCGGUGCACCAACACGUUUGUCCUGGUCCGGGUGCCAGCACUAAGUGCUGUGCCUUGCCACACGUGGUGCUUCCGUUCUGAACGGCGUGAAGGCCCCUCCCUUCCUAACGGUGGAAGAAGCAGAGUGUCAUCACUACUUGCACACACUGUCUCGGACGGGUAAAGCAGGAUGUGCGCCCCGGUACUGCCCUGCUGCGGCACAAAAGGAGACCUCUCAAGAGAGGCCACUAGUGCUUCGCCCCCCACCCCCCUCCAACAAUAUGGCAGCUCCACCCACCCAACCGCGCCCCCUGCAGGCCACGGAACGCCACGUUACACACACACAAUCCUCUAGUAUUAACUUUCCCUCUAUCCACCAUGUUCUCGCGUCAGUUUUCCACAGCUAUGCCACAGCCAGCGGGAAGAGAUGGAGGGCAGGGCUCAUCCUGUCUUUGUUUUCCUCCAUUGCAUUAGUGUCUCCACCAUGCCUGCCUUAGUUGUUUGUUGAGGUAGUUUACUUGCACUUGCUAGCCUUUUUGUACAAAACCCACUCUUCCCAGCAUACUGGUAAGUGUAGCCCCCUGGUAGCAAGCCUGGUGUUGUUCAAGGUCUCUGCGGCACACUAUCAAGGGCGUUAUCUCGUGUCUCUUCGUCCGGAUGAAGAGCACUCCAGGUUUUACUGCCGUCACUGUAACUCGAGUUAGUGUAUGAUUUAGUUAUUCAUUUUAGAAGGUUCAUUAGAACGUGCGUGUGUGUGUGUGUGUGUGUGUGUGUGUGUGUGUGUGUGUGUGUGUGUGCGCGCGCUCUCGCGUGCAUGCGUGCUUAACAAAUUUUAUAUUGUGUGAAGAUCGUACUGUCCCAUAUUUGAUCACCUGUAGAUCAUACAAUUCCUGAACCGCGAGUACAUUUAUUCCUAUGGACGGUUGAUGGUUAGGGAAGGUGUUCCCUACAUCAAGUGCUCGGUUUCAAGAUUCCUAACAUUGUGACGUGAGGGGUCAUGGUAAAUACCUACCAGGGCGUUUCGGUUAUCACGUUCAGACCUUACCAUCAGGGUCAGUGGUCUAACAAGCCCGACACUGUCAGUCAAGAAGCACUAUUUUAGGGCAUACCAACAGUUAGCCGAGGCAGGUGACGGUGCAAGGCCACUACGACGUAAUACAACUGCCGUGGUCAAGAUAUGUUAAUGCGACACUGCUUUACCUUGAUGUUUAUGAGAAUGAUUGCCUUAGCAGGUGCAGUGGAUAACGGAAAUGGUAUGGAAACGGAAGACAGGUAGAAAACUCGCUUAACACAGAGGUUUCAUGAAUAGAAAACAUUAGAUAGGAAAUUAGACGUGAAGGAUGACGAAAAGUCCUGUGUGGUGAAAUUCUCUCUCUCUCUCUCUCUCUCUCUCUCUCUCUCUGGUGUGACUGGAGGGGACAUAAUCUGGUGUUUGACUGACUGGAGGGAGGGGAAGACAGGUGUGUGACUGGCUGGAGGGAGGGGAAGACAGGUGUGUGGCUGGCUGGAGGGAGGGGAAGACAGGUGUGUGGCUGGCUGGAGGGAGGGGAAGACAGGUGUGUGACUGGCUGGAGGGAGGGGAAGACAGGUGUGUGACUGGCUGGAGGGAGGGGAAGACAGGUGUGUGACUGGCUGGAGGGAGGGGAAGACAGGUGUGUGACUGGCUGGAGGGAGGGGAAGACAGGUGUGUGACUGGCUGGAGGGAGGGGAAGACAGGUGUGUGACUGGCUGGAGGGAGGGGAAGACAGGUGUGUGACUGGCUGGAGGGAGGGGAAGACAGGUGUGUGACUGGCUGGAGGGAGGGGAAGACAGGUGUGUGACUGGCUGGAGGGAGGGGAAGACAGGUGUGUGACUGACUGGAGGGAGGGCAAGACAGGUGUGUGACUGGCUGGAAGGAGGGGAACAGGUGUGUGGCUGACUGGAGGGAGGGGAAGACAGGUGUGUGACUGGCUGGAGGGAGGGGAAGACAGGUGUGUAACUAGGGGGUGAGACAGGUGUGCAGACUAGAGAUGGUGUCUGAAGCAGAAGACAGUAGUUGUAUGCCACUGAGGGUGACAGGCGCUGAAUAGUAUGCAAGGUGACUGGCAAGGAGACAGGCCUGACUGCUGAAUGAGACAAGUCAAGAGCGAGCGUGUCAGUUUUUCUGGCGGUAAUCUCAGAUCAUCGCACGUGUAACAAGACAGGAUUAUAACACGUAGCUGGCAAACACGCGAGACAGCGCUGCCAGGGUUGAGGGACAAUAGGUUUACGAAGGCCCAUUAUUCAGAGAAAAAAAUAAACAGAAGGCAUCAGUUUAGGCAAAGGAGAAUCACUGAACACUUAGAAAACGGAUUCCAGCGGCACUAAAAACAAGUGCAAGAGAAAGUUCCAACAGGACUUCGCAAAUGUCAACCUCUUAUAGACUUUGUGUGCAUAAUAGUCUUGGUGUGUAUCAUUAGCCCCCUGGCCUCUGUACUUAGCUGACAACGGCCUAUAUAAACUAACACGCGAGAUGACAACACUGAUCAGGGUCUUGAGAUGGUAAUGCAAGUGAGGUUAUUACAGGAGAGCAUCACUGGGGGGUGGGGGCCCAAACUAGAGCGAAAGAUCCAAUGCCAAGAAAUUUAGGCCAUCGAGAAAAAUUAUUGCAGCAGGAGCAUCAAUGGUCCUUGAGUGGAGUGAACGAUUCCAGGGCAAGAAAACAAGGUCAUUCGGCAGAGACAGCUUACAAGGCACCGAGAGAAAGUUGCGGGCAUUUGUUUAACACUUCGCUCUGCCUCCUUACCGUAUACAAAAAAUUAUAUGAAGGUGAAGCAGCGAGCUUGCCAGCCUACCUCUACCCUUUGCUACCACCUGCCCUCACGCCGUGUCUAGAUGAAAUUUCCUUGCCUCGUUGUCGUCUUGUGUUUCAAAGAAAUACUAGAUAUGUAUGCGCAACCCCAGUAAGCCAACACGAUGCCUUUUCUUUUAUCCCUAGCAAAGUGACUGGGGGUAGUACGAGAAAUUGAAGAUGCGAGGUACAGGGAGGGAAGCAAAAAUACAAUACAAGGAUUUACCACCGAGAUAUACCACUUUAACAAAUCUAAGCCGGCACAAAACCUAUCCAUCUUCAUCAUCUACUACCUUCACCACAGACCUUCCCUUAUUCACUUCUUUAUCCCGACUCUUCAUAUACGGUAUACCUUCAGCAAACCACCACUGCCCUGACUAGACCUUCCCUGCCUCACUCCUUUCCCUGUCCCGAGACGCUGUGGGAAUGGAGGCUGGUUAGACGGAACGAGGAGACCGCCAAUAAGAAUAGUACUGCUUGCUGUUCGUGAUAUUACUGGAUCAAAUGAACGAGAAAGGACGGUGAAGACGAGUAGAUUGUGUUUUCCAGGCUCUUAAUUUGUCAUCACUUGAGAAAAGGCGGAAGAGAGAGGGAGGGAAGUAAUGAGCAACGAGAUAGAGCCGACGAUGAAGACUCAAUCCGACCUCAUAAUAAGAUAUCGUGAGGAGUCUUCAGUUUUGAGGUUCAAAAGAUGUAUGGAACCACUUGAGAAUAAAAUGGAGGACAGCAGGUAGUUAGUUCGAAGCCCCACCCAAGAACAGCUCGUUUGAAAAGGGGGUUUGCCCACUACGGUCUUGUAGAAGCAGUACUUAGCGGGCGGGCAUUUAUGUUGCUUUUUUUCUGCCCUCGAGCCGUUUCCUUUACCAUAAAAAAAAUUGUAGAACAACUUAGGGAGGAGAAGUGGUUGGAAGAGUUUACCAGGGCAGAAUAUAACGGGGAGCCCUCAUUGAAGUCUGAAUGGUGGUUCUGUGGUGUGGAUGGCACAAACAAGUGGAGAAUAACAAGAAUAUGAUCCAAGGAGCAAAUACCUUGAAAGUGACGGACACAAGCCUUUCUAAGACGGAACAAGGAUUCAGAGAGCAUGCAUGAAACUUUAGUUCAUAAAACUGACGAACAAGCAACUUAACGAAAUGACUGAUUAAGAAUCGAUAUUGGACGCAUGAAGCUCGAAUAAAGUUAAACUGACGGAUCGUUGAAUGCAAGGGCAAAAAAAUUAUACAAGCUGAUGUGGGCUACUUCAACGAACAUACAAGUCCCUUUAGAGAACAAGUAUUGAGAACAUUGAUAAUUGACGACUUAAGAGCUUGAUAGUUCUAAUAAAGGCCGGGAACCAGAAUUAUGGGGGAAGGUGGAACGAGCACAAACUACCAAGGAAGAGUUCUCUCUCUCUCUCUCUCUCUCUCUCUCUCUCUAACAUUAUCUUGCACAGCCACACACACAUCCUCCUUAUUACAUGUGCACACGCCCAUCCGCCCUACACAAACCUACUUUAAACUUAAUACACACGCCUACACAAACACACCCUACAUGUGCACACACAUUCCCAUCCACUCACACCAACAUUCAAGACCAUAAAUGAAAAUAUAGGGAACAUGUAUAACGAGUGGGCGAAUAAAACUAACCUUUUUAUUCAACGCCGAGGAAUUAGUGAUGAUUAUAUCAUCCAUAAGACGAACACUCGAAUGGAACGCACUUAAAAACGCAUGAGAAGAUAUGAGAUGUCGCAAAGAGCAGGCACAAGAUUAGUGCCAAACAUGAGAUCAAAGUUACGAAGAAAGACAAGAGAAGGUUCAAUUACCAACACUACCGAGAAUAGAGAAUAUAUACACUACUGAGAACAGAGAAUGUGAGAAGGAAGUGAGAUUCGAGAAGUGAGAAUAGAGAAUGAAAACAGGAAAGUUAGAUGAGAAUGGGAGAAUAAAAAUGAGAAUAGAGAAAGAAUUGGAGAGAAGCGAAUGAGAAGUGAGAAAAAAUGUGAUAUUGCUAUAUAUAUAAUACAAAUUUGUCGAAGGAUAAGACCGACAUUUAUGACUAUAGUAUGCCAAGACUUUCAAGAAUGUUACGUAAAGAAAAAAGAUGUGGAGAUUAGAGAAAUAUGCGAGGAAAUUAUGCUUUUUCAGACAGAUCAAGAGACCAAUAGCACAUGUUACCGUUAACCUCGUGUAUGCCAAAAUUAGUUUAAAAAAUACGUUUAAAAAAGACAUCCCUACAAACUUGACUCAGUGGAAAUACUGAGUAGGAACAUACCGACCAUAGAAUAAUAGUUAUGGCGGAUGUGAUGGUGGCAGAGGUAACACGCACACACGUCCAUACGCCCAUCCACUUACACAUGUGCAACCCCCCAUCAUCCCUGUGCACCUCCCCCCGAUAUUUCCUAAAACUAACCCCUGGAACAUGUGCACACGCCUUCUCAGACACGUCCACCCCCCUGUACACGUGUGCACGACCACCCUUCCUAAAAGUGCACAUGCCAUCCAACACAGCUACACGCCCUUCCACACAUAUAUCCAUUCACACGUGUCCACGCCCACUAAGUUUUUACACGCACACGCCCUUCCGCACACUUACACACGCCCAUCCACACACACAUUCCUUCAACCGCGCGCACACCCAUCCAAACUUGUCCACGCCCACUAACACACACACACGUACACACGCCCAUCCCAAAUCCAUGUGCACACAAGCCGGACGUUCCACGCACUCCGUACACACGCCCAUACGUACAUACACGCACACAGACAUCAAAAUGAGACCUCACCAAACCACCCCCCGCGCACGUACCCACGCCCUCGACUAUUCCAUGUGCACAUAAGCGGCUCCACACACGCCCAUAUGUACACCCAACGUACACACACACGCACACGAGACGGCAAAAUGAACCCGGCCGCCGCCCUCUUCAUGCCAAGGAGAAAAUUACCCCAAAAUAACCCCCGGAACAGCCCGACCUCACCCCACGCCCAUGCCCACCGCCGCCCUCAGCCCCACGCCCCCCGAGGCACACACUCCCCCGGGGGCCAAGAAAAGGCGGAAAAUGUGGGCCGCCCGAACACCGGCUCCCCGUAUAACACCCGUCCGCCCACGCCCACCCGCCGCCCGCACACCCACGCCCUCGCCCGCGCC